rnacentral:rRNA from 1 species
UACGGAGGGUGCAAGCGUUGUUCGGAUUCAUUGGGCGUAAAGCGAGUGUAGGCGGUUUGACAAGUCGGAUGUGAACUCCCGGGGCCCAACCCCGGAACUGCACCCGAUACUGUCUGGCUAGAGUCCCGGAGAGGGUGGCGGAAUUCCCGGUGUAGGGGUGAAAUCCGUAGAUAUCGGGAGGAACACCAGUGGCGAAGGCGGCCACCUGGACGGUGACUGACGCUGAGACUCGAAAGCGUGGGUAGCAAACAGG